rnacentral:rRNA from 1 species
UCAAAGAUUAAGCCAUGCAUGUGCCAGUACAAGCCCAAUGUAAAGGUGAAACCGCGAAUGGCUCAUUAAAUCAGCUGUAAUUCCUUGGAUCUGUAUAUUACCCAACAAGUUCCUUGGAUAACUGUGGUAAUUCUAGAGCUAAUACAUGCCAAUCGAGUUCCUGGCCCCUGAUCUUCUUGUUCCCACCUCUUGACUGAGGAGGGAGAGGACUACGUGGGUGCAAGGACGCUUUUAUUAGUUCACAAAAAAAACCAACUGUCGGGCUCUAGCAGUCCUUCAUUGGAAAUCCCUUGUGAUGACUCUGGAUAACUUUUUGCUGAGUGCAAGGCCAUCAUUACAAAAUGAUGAUGCGCCAGUGCCGCAUCUUUCAAGUGUCUGCCUUAUCAGCUUUCGAUUGUAUGCUAUGUGCUUACAAUGGCUAUAACGGGUGACGGGGAAUCAGGGUUCGAUUCCGGAGAGGGAGCCUGAGAAACGGCUACCACAUCUAAGGAAGGCAGCAGGCACGCAAAUUACCCACUCCCAGCACGGGGAGGUAGUGACGAAAAAUAACAAUGUGAGACUCAUCCGAGGCCUCGCAAUUGGAAUGAGUACACUUUAAAUCCUUUAACGAGGACCAAUUGGAGGGCAAGUCUGGUGCCAGCAGCCGCGGUAAUUCCAGCUCCAAUAGCAUAUAUUAA